rnacentral:rRNA from 1 species
CACUCCUACGGGAGGCAGCAGUGGGGAAUUUUGGACAAUGGGCGAAAGCCUGAUCCAGCAAUGCCGCGUGUGUGAAGAAGGCCUUCGGGUUGUAAAGCACUUUUGUCCGGAAAGAAAUCCUUGGCUCUAAUACAGUCGGGGGAUGACGGUACCGGAAGAAUAAGCACCGGCUAACUACGUGCCAGCAGCCGCGGUAAUACGUAGGGUGCGAGCGUUAAUCGGAAUUACUGGGCGUAAAGCGUGCGCAGGCGGUUUGCUAAGACCGAUGUGAAAUCCCGGGGCUCAACCUGGGAACUGCAUUGGUGACUGGCAGGCUAGAGUAUGGCAGAGGGGGGUAGAAUUCCACGUGUAGCAGUGAAAUGCGUAGAGAUGUGGAGGAAUACCGAUGGCGAAGGCAGCCCCCUGGGCCAAUACUGACGCUCAUGCACGAAAGCGUGGGGAGCAAACAGGAUUAGAAACCCGAGUAGUCCCAUGAU